AUUGAACGCUGGCGGCAUGCUUUACACAUGCAAGUCGAACGGCAGCGCGGGCUUCGGCCUGGCGGCGAGUGGCGAACGGGUGAGUAAUACAUCGGAACGUGCCUAGUAGUGGGGGAUAGCUCGGCGAAAGCCGGAUUAAUACCGCAUACGACCUGAGGGUGAAAGCGGGGGAUCUUCGGACCUCGCGCUAUUGGAGCGGCCGAUGGCAGAUUAGCUAGUUGGUGGGGUAAAGGCCUACCAAGGCGACGAUCUGUAGCUGGUCUGAGAGGACGACCAGCCACACUGGGACUGAGACACGGCCCAGACUCCUACGGGAGGCAGCAGUGGGGAAUUUUGGACAAAGGGCGAAAGCCUGAUCCAGCAAUGCCGCGUGUGUGAUGAAGGCCUUCGGGUUGUAAAGCACUUUUGGCGGGAACGAAAAGGACUGUGCCAAUACCACGGUUCGAUGACGGUACCCGCAGAAUAAGCACCGGCUAACUACGUG
rnacentral:rRNA from 1 species